rnacentral:rRNA from 1 species
CCUACGGGGGGCAGCAGUGAGGAAUUUUCCGCAAUGGAGGCAACUCUGACGGAGCAACGCCGCGUGCAGGAGGACGCUUUUCGGAGUGUAAACUGCUUUUCUGUGGGAAGAGCAAGGACGGAACCACAGGAAGAAGCCCCGGCUAACUACGUGCCAGCAGCCGCGGUAAUACGUAGGGGGCGAGCGUUGUCCGGAGUUACUGGGCGUAAAGGGCAUGCAGGCGGUCGCACGCGUUUCCAGUGACAGCGGGUGGCUUACCUACCCGAGUAUUGGAAAGACGGUGCGACUUGAGGACUCGAGAGGGACACGGAAUUCCGGGUGGAGUGGUGAAAUGCGUAGAGAUCCGGAGGAACAUCGAAGGCGAAGGCAGUGUCCUGGCGAGUGACUGACGCUGAGGUGCGAAAGCUAGGGGAGCGAACGGGAUUAGAUACCCCGGUAGUC